ensembl:processed_transcript
UGUAAUUUGAAGAUUGCUAAGGACGGUACAACGGUAGACAAGCUCUGACUGAUCUCAAGGAUGAAGAAUUUCAUAAUUUUUGUCAGCCUAUUAUGCGUGACCCUUGGCUUCCCAGUGGGUUCGCCUUUAUAUAAGAGAGAAAGACGCAGACGUCAGCUGGGUUUUGGUUAUGACUAUGGAUACGGAUACAGAUAUGGACCGGUUUAUCCAUACUAUAAUAUCCCCAUCUAUCAGCCUAACGAUUUCAAUGACAUCACUCCUGAAAUUUACAUUGGUGAUGAUGUAAGACGUCCAGCAACGGUCAAACCCCCUGUUACUGCAACAAGACGUCCAGCAAUGGUCAGACCCCCUGUUACUGCAACAAGACGUCUAACAACAGCACUGGUGAAGCCGGUGCCGUUUAAUAACCUUCAGCCUACAGGAGAACCCUGUCCACAGCCCAGAGGAGACGAUUUAAACAAUGAUCAGCUGCCAGUGUUCGUCUAUGUGGAUCCUAAAGAGUGGAGCUCCAUGGGUGCGGUGGACAGACCCGUGUCUCCUGGUCAGACUGCUUCCAGUGAUCUUCAGCCAGCGUUUGCCAUCGUUCCUGGUGUUUUUCUUCCGACAUCUGAGAACGGCCAAACUGUGAUAAAUCCAAUGGAAGAUCUCAAUAACAGGCUGAAAACCCCAGACAUGUUGAGAGUCGCUGCAUCUGCUAAAAAAGAGAAAGAUUGUUAACUCUUGUAUUUAAAUUUACUACCCUUUCGUUAUGUUGGUGGCUGUUUUGACCCCAUUGACUUAUCAUUUAUUUUAUUUUU